rnacentral:rRNA from 1 species
CCUACGGGGGGCUGCAGUGGGGAAUAUUGGACAAUGGGGGCAACCCUGAUCCAGCCAUGCCGCGUGUGUGAAGAAGGCCCUCGGGUUGUAAAGCACUUUCAGUGAGGAAGAACGCCUGGUGGUUAAUACCCAUCAGGAAAGACAUCACUCACAGAAGAAGCACCGGCUAACUCCGUGCCAGCAGCCGCGGUAAUACGGAGGGUGCGAGCGUUAAUCGGAAUUACUGGGCGUAAAGCGCGCGUAGGUGGCUCGAUAAGCCGGUUGUGAAAGCCCCGGGCUCAACCUGGGAACGGCAUCCGGAACUGUCAAGCUAGAGUGCAGGAGAGGAAGGUAGAAUUCCCGGUGUAGCGGUGAAAUGCGUAGAGAUCGGGAGGAAUACCAGUGGCGAAGGCGGCCUUCUGGACUGACACUGACACUGAGGUGCGAAAGCGUGGGUAGCAAACAGGAUUAGAUACCCCAGUAGUC